rnacentral:rRNA from 1 species
GCCUAAGAUCAAGCCUAUAAACCUCUCAUGAACUAUCAUAUUUAUGAACACAUAAUAAAACAUUUUUACACUCUAGUAGAGGCGAUCAAAAGACUUAUAAGCGCUUCACAUAUGUACCGCAAGGGAAUGAUGAAAUAGAUUUGAAACAGCCCCAAAGCACAAAAUAGUAGAGACUACACCUCGUACCUUUUGCAUCAUGGUUUAGCCAGUCCCCAUCAAGCAUAACGAAACAUUAGUUUGACCCCCCGAAACUAAGCGAGCUACUUCAAAACAGCUUAAUAGAGCCAACCCAUCUCUGUAGCAAAAGAGUGGGACGAUUUUCAAGUAGCGGUGAAAAGCCUAUCGAGCUUAGAGAUAGCUGGUUAUUCAAGAAAAGAAUUUUAGUUCUACCUUAAGUUUUUAUAUUAUCCAAAACAACCCAUUAAACUUAAGAGCUAUUCAAAUAAGGCACAGCUUAUUUGAAAUAGGAAACAACCUAUAACAAAGGGUAAAACACACCUCUCCAAUCAAGUGGGCCUAAAAGCAGCCACCUUUAAAAAAGCGUCAAAGCUUUAUUUACCUCCCUCACUUAAUACCUCAGUAUAUUUUAAACCCUUCAUCUGUAUUGAAUAAUCCAAUAAAUUAUUGGAGUUAUCAUGCUAAAACUAGUAACAAGAAAUUGACUUUCUCCAAAAUAUAAACAUAAACCAAAAUGGACACCCCAUUGGUAAUUAACGUAAAUGAGCCCCCAUAUAGCAACACUAUCAAGAAAGCCCUAUAACUAUUAACGUUAACCUUACACAAGUAUAUUACUGGAAAGAUUAAAAGAGUGAGAAGGAACUCGGCAAAUUCUAACCCCGCCUGUUUACCAAAAACAUCGCCUCUUGAUAAAUUAUAAGAGGUCCAGCCUGCCCAGUGACUUAGUUAAACGGCCGCGGUACCCUGACCGUGCGAAGGUAGCAUAAUCACUUGUUCUUUAAAUAAGGACUAGUAUCAACGGCAUCACGAGGGUUACACUGUCUCCUCCCUCCAAUCAGUGAAACUGAUCUCCCCGUGAAGAAGCGGGGAUAAAAAUAUAAGACGAGAAGACCCCAUGGAGCUUUAAACCCAACAACAACCUCUAUGCACAACCCCCUAAUAAAUGCAGAAGUACUGUCUGUUGGUUUUAGGUUGGGGUGACCGCGGAGUAAAACUUAGCCUCCACGAUGAACGGGAUUAACCCCUAAUCCAAGAGCCACCGCUCUAAGAAUCAAUAAAUUGACAUGAGAUGAUCCGACUAUCGAUCAACGAACCAAGUUACCCUGGGGAUAACAGCGCAAUCCAUUUCAAGAGCCCCUAUCGACAAAUGGGUUUACGACCUCGAUGUUGGAUCAGGGUAUCCCAGUGGUGCAGCCGCUACUAAAGGUUUGUUUGUUCAACAAUUAAAACCCUACGUGAUCUGAGUUCAGACCGGAGUAAUCCAGGUCGGUUUCUAUCUAUAAAGUGUUAUUUUUAGUACGAAAGGACCAAAAUAACAUGGCCAAUAAUUAAUAUGCCAUAACCCAUAACCAAUGAAUUAAUCUCAAUUGAUAAAGGCCUACCAAUAUGUCUUAGCCUAAGACAG